UACCAGCACCCCGAGUGGUCGGGACGUUUUAUUGGGCCUAAAGCAUCCGUAGCCGGUUCUACAAGUCUUCCGUUAAAUCCAACUACUUAACAGGUGGGCUGCGGAAGAUACUAUAGAGCUAGGAGGCGGGAGAGGCAAGCGGUACUCGAUGGGUAGGGGUAAAAUCCGUUGAUCCAUUGAAGACCACCAGUGGCGAAGGCGGCUUGCCAGAACGCGCUCGACGGUGAGGGAUGAAAGCUGGGGGAGCAAACCGG
rnacentral:rRNA from 1 species